rnacentral:lncRNA from 12 species
GAAUAAUUCUUCUUCUUUAAUAUUUAUAUUCCCACAGUGCUCAAAGACUUUGUUGUUGCCUGAGAUACAAACACGGUGAUACAAGCCAACUCUUUUCGAUGUGCUUGCAAUCAAAGAAUCACAAAAAUGAAAUAAGCAGGUGAUUGGUUCUGGUGUUUUUAGAACUGUCUACUGCAUCCUGAACAUUUUCCAUGCAUCACUGACUGGGAA